AGUGUCCCGGAGGCUGAGCAGAACAAAAAAUGAAUCAAGAAAAGCAAGUGUUACGAGUGAAGAAAAUACCCCGGUUGAAAAGGACAAGAAAAAGUCUUUCUUUUGGCUUUUUCCCACUUUAUGCUUCAGAAACCCCAACACAAAUACCCCGGGUUCUACCUAUGGAGCAUCGGCACAACAAAGGAAAACAGUCACCUUCUGCCGCAGCACAGAAGAUGCAAGAAGGACCAGCAGCAAAGGGGUUAAGGGGAGCCCCAUAGCAAAGAUAUGCAAUGCCUUGAAAUUUUAAGCACUAAAAUUUGUGAAUACAUAAAAGAAUAAAUCUUUGCAGUUCCAGAUAUUUCUGGUUGACAUAAAACACUUGGAGCCAGUUAUGUAGGGGGAGUUGCUGUGAACACUGGAAUCGGUGAUGCCUGGUUCCCUAUGGAUUUGUGCUCUCUCUUUCUGCACACUUUAAUCCCACUUCACUAAGCCCAGCCAUCCCUCCAGACCUUACACACAUCUCUCCCAUGCCCCCAUUCCUUCUACCCUCUUCUCCCCUCGAUAUUUUCCCAGUACCUGCAAAGGAGGCAGCAGGCAUUGAAGCUCUGCACCGGGCUGCCAGGCCAGCCAGGAGAGAGCGUGGGAGCUCAGACCAUGGGCUACAUCUCUCACCUUGGUCCUGCUACCAAAUUUCAUGAAACUCAGAUGUUUGCUGCUCCAUCAACUUCAGCUAGAAUUAGCCAGCUGGUUCAAAAGGUACUCAGGGCAGGUGGCAAGACAGAUUGACACACGCUGCAAUCACGUUUCCGUAGGCAACCAGGCUAAUUUGAGAGUGAUACUACUCUUUAUUUUUAAUAAUAUAUUUUUUUAAGCUCCAUAGGUACGGUUUCCAGGCAUGGUUUUUACCUCCCUGUAAGUGUAAAUGUAAGAUCCACCUCUUUUUUUUCUCCCCCACGUUUGUAAAGGUACCUCUUUGAAAAAUACUUGGCUGCAGGGGCUCCAAUGGUUUCCACCAGCGCCAUGCAGACUGCUUCUGGGUGUUUUACAGAGAGCUAGUCUGGUACUCACAACUUGCCGACUUACUAUACUCCACAUAUUGGCUUCAGGUGACUUUAAAAAAAGAAAAAAAAAAUCCAAAUUUUGCCACAGCUGUAGCUGGCUGCGGUUUCCUCUACUGGGUGGCUGCUGGGAGAUGUGUCUGUGGGUGAGCUGAGCACCUCACCGACAACAUCUGAGCCCUGCUCAUUUGAAACUGUGAGGUGGGUGACUCCGGCCUCUCCAGAAAGCAGCUGGUGUUUUUGUAUGGGAUGGAGGAAAAAGAGGUUUCACUAUAGCUGUUCUUCAUGCUCUUGAGUUAACAUGUGGCUCCCAGUCUUCUCCUCCCUUUUCAGAUGGACUAAAGGGAGGAGAGCAAUUGCUGCUGUCUUUAGAUCCUGGGAAUAGCAGCUCUGGAAGUGGCAAAGUGCCCUUAUCUCUGCCUACAGAGGAUAAAACAGAGGGAAUCUCUGACCUUGUCCUCUUCUGAGAUCCCUGAGAAACUGCCCAUUUUUACCUCCAUCCCUUAAAAUGAAGGCCCUGGGCAGUGGGCAAGGGGAAUUUAGGUCCCUGAAUGAGGAGCACAGAAUGUGUCCUUGCUGCAAUGGCAAGAAGGGCCUCCAGACUGAGUCUGGUCUGAGUGGGUCUGGUCUGUGUACUUGAGCAGACACUGUAUCAUUCAGGACAAUCCGUUUUCAACCGGUUUGCAACAUCUAGUUCCCCUCACUGAGCUCGGAGCUAUGUGUGCUCAGCAAUACUAAAAAAUUAUCUCACAAAAACACACUUCAGGCGGCCUCCUCUAGUUUGGUUUGGUUUAAAUCUCCAAGCUGGCAACUUCUAAAACAUGUUCCCUGUUUUUUCUGACUGCUCCAAUUCCAAGAGAGAUUGAGUUUCCUUCGCUUCUUUAAUGAGACUGUUCCCAGUGAGUUACUGUCUUGGUUGCACAGAGGGAUAAAUGCCUGAUUUUCUCAUUUGAAAAAGCCCCCCCCUCCCCCCCCCAAAAUGUGUCUGCUCAGCCUCAGCCAUUUGGCCUGGGAGGUUUCCACAUCAUAUGUCAAGCUGGUUUUUCUUCUCUGACUGCAGAAAACUGCUCAGAUGAGGUUGCGGGGAAGUACAAAGUUUUGACAGCACAUAGAAGAUUCCAGCUAAUUGAGUUCAUUGGGAAUUUUUCUACACCGCAUUUUUUCUGAUGAAAAAUGCCAACUCCUUGUGGAGGAGGGUCAGCUCCAACAAAUGACUCACUUUAAUGGAGACAGCCUGAAGUAGCCCGAGGUAGAAGUGGCCAGGGUCAGGCUGAUGCCCAAUGGGGUGAUACUGUACCCCACGACCCUCUCCCUUAUAGGGCUUAAAAAUUCUAUGUCUGAGGUCUCAUCAUUGCCCUGCUGACAGCAAACAAUUGUGAAAAUCCAUUAAUGUCUCAUGCUCUUCCCAUGACUGACCCAUCCAUGAAGUCGUCACCUGCUCCUUGCUGACAGUCGCUGUGCUGGCUCGUGCUUCAGUUUUUAAGCUUUGGUCCAGUCUGGGUGAUUAACUGUGUUGGGGUCACUGGGGUUCCCCAGUUCACAUUUUUAGCUUGGGAAAGGUUUUCACAUUGCUGCAGGAGUCCGAAGAAAUUAGGGAAAAGAGUCAACACGAAAAGAGCUUUGAAGGCGCAAAGUUAAGCAUUUGGAAGUUAGGGAAUGCCAAACGGAGGGUCGCCAGUACAACCCCAGCUGUACGCUUACAUGAUGGUGCUGGUUUUAGUUACAGGAUCCCAUUUCUUUCCUGUGGGGCUCCUUCCUCGCUCAAUGCACUGGAGAAACUUUGCUCAGCUGAAGAAGCAUGGUUAUAUAGUUAAACAUGCUGUUGUCCACGGUUUGGAUUCAAGUGGUUUAAAAACAAGAAGAAAUUCCAAAUUUUGCCUUCCCCUGAAUGCCACAGCUAUAGCUGACUACAGUUUCUACUAUUUCCACUUCUUGACGACUGUUAAGUCCUGGCUGUGGGUGAGUGGGUGGCUGUGCGUGAGCAGCUUUGCUUUGCUAUUUAUGGAAGUGAAAGGCAUGUGAUGGGAAAAAAUAAAAAAGUCUACUGCAAUGAUGAAACUGGUUGAAAGUUGCACAAUGGGCUGGAUUACAUCCCUGCCCAGAGCCCUCAUUUCAUGUUGGCAAGUAGCUCAAACAUGUUCAGGGGCUAAUGAGGCUACUUCUGCUACUGAGUGCACAAAUUAGAUUCUGCAGAAGUAUUGAGUAAAUGCAGGUGAAACUAAUGGGAUCUGUUAUCUGAAUAUAGAAAAUAAUAUACGCUAUUAAAUGUUAUUAAAAAAAAUGCAAGCUGUGACUCCAAUUAGGUGCCAAAAAGGAGAAAGAAUAUAACGAGUCAGCCUCUUGUCAGUGAAAUGGGAAUAAUACCAGCCUUUUGAUGAAAAUUGUUGUGCGGCAUCCAGACUGCACAGCUUCCCAAUUCCCCGGCGAGCCAGGGGGUGAGGGAGGGACAUUAACAUUCAGGAUUGAGAAGAGAGUUUGAGAGGGAAGUGAACUGGCUUGGAGAAAAAUAGUCUGCGCUCAUGUAAACACAGUCAGCAUCAUAAGACUUCAAGGGUCAGAGCUCAGCUUGAAUUAAGACAGAUCUCUCUUCUUUAAUAUUUAGCGUUGGGAGGAUGAAAGAAGUAUUGCCCUAGAAAAAUCAGUUUUAAAAUUCUGCUGGAUGCUGGGGUUUUACUUUAGAAGUAAAUAGGGACGUUCUUUUCUUUUCUUUGCACUUCAAAGAUUUACAUGCAUGACAGUGAGUAAUCAGCUGUUUGCUGAGUGCAAGUCAGCGUGAUGGAAAAAUAGCCACCAGUUUGUUCCAUAAAGUCAUGGGAAGAAACAAAUAAAACAAAUUACACGGGGAGGGAGCGUUUGCUUUUUUUAAGAGCACAAUGUGGCUGAAUUGAGCGUUUCUUACCACUAAGGGUAAGGCAGCAGUCUGCCAGCUUUGUGGUUGUUAGAAGCAAAAUUUUUAGUCACAAUAUUGUAAUAGAAAGAAAGGAAAAUGCAUCAGACAGCUUUUUCAGAAAAUGCGUCGGGGGCUUUCUCCCUAGACCACGCUCACUCCCUCGGUUGUCACUUGCUUUCCGUCACCCAGAAGCAAGUAUCUGCUCAUCUCACAGAUAUCCUGAGGAUUACUAUUAAUAUUUUUUCUUAUUAUUAAUAUCUGUUUUCUACAAAAGCACUGACGUGUACUAGGUACUUUACAGACAAAUAAGGAAGCGAGUUACUUUUCCUAGAAACUUGCAGUCGACAGGGGUUUGCCUGAAGUAGCGUGAAAUGAAUCUCUCUGGGCUGUACUUAUUUAUCUAUUACUUGUAAUGAUUUAUCUUGCAUGCCUGGCCGUGACAGCUCUUGUUUUACAAAAACUAGACGCAUGGUAGGUGAUCCACAGCAGAAUCUAAGCAUGACCUGCAGCUGGAAUGAUAUUUUAAGGAAAAAAAAAAAAAAA